rnacentral:rRNA from 1 species
GAACGCUGGCGGCAUGCCUUACACAUGCAAGUCGAACGGCAGCGCGGACUUCGGUCUGGCGGCGAGUGGCGAACGGGUGAGUAAUGUAUCGGAACGUGCCCUAGAGUGGGGGAUAACGUAGCGAAAGUUACGCUAAUACCGCAUACGAUCUAUGGAUGAAAGUGGGGGACCGYAAGGCCUCACGCUCAUGGAGCGGCCGAURUCUGAUUAGCUAGUUGGUGGGGUAAARGCYUACCAAGGCGACGAUCWGUAGCUGGUCUGAGAGGACGACCAGCCACACUGGGACUGAGACACGGCCCAGACUCCUACGGGAGGCAGCAGUGGGGAAUUUUGGACAAUGGGGGCAACCCUGAUCCAGCMAUGCCGCGUGYGUGAAGAAGGCCUUCGGGUUGUAAAGCRCUUUUGUCAGGAACGAAACGGCGGGGGCUAAUAUCCUSUGCUAAUGACGGUACCUGAAGAAUAAGCACCGGCUAACUACGUGCCAGCAGCCGCGGUAAUACGUAGGGUGCGAGCGUUAAUCGGAAUUACUGGGCGUAAAGCGUGCGCAGGCGGUUGUGCAAGACAGAUGUGAAAUCCCCGGGCUUAACCUGGGAAUUGCAUUUGUGACUGCACCGCUAGAGUGCGUCAGAGGGGGGUAGAAUUCCACGUGUAGCAGUGAAAUGCGU